rnacentral:rRNA from 1 species
CGCCGCGUGAGCGAAGAAGGCCUUCGGGUCGUAAAGCUCUGUUGUUAGGGAAGAACAAGUGCCAGAGUAACUGCUGGCACCUUGACGGUACCUAACCAGAAAGCCACGGCUAACUACGUGCCAGCAGCCGCGGUAAUACGUAGGUGGCAAGCGUUGUCCGGAAUUAUUGGGCGUAAAGCGCGCGCAGGUGGUUCCUUAAGUCUGAUGUGAAAGCCCACGGCUCAACCGUGGAGGGUCAUUGGAAACUGGGGGACUUGAGUGCAGAAGAGGAAAGUGGAAUUCCAAGUGUAGCGGUGAAAUGCGUAGAGAUUUGGAGGAACACCAGUGGCGAAGGCGACUUUCUGGUCUGUAACUGACACUGAGGCGCGAAAGCGUGGGGAGCGAACAGGAUUAGAUACCCUGGUAGUCCACGCCGUAAACGAUGAGUGCUAAGUGUUAGAGGGUUUCCGCCCUUUAGUGCUGCAGCUAACGCAUUAAGCACUCCGCCUGGGGAGUACGGCCGCAAGGCUGAAACUCAAAGGAAUUGACGGGGGCCCGCACAAGCGGUGGAGCAUGUGGUUUAAUUCGAAGCAACGCGAAGAACCUUACCAGGUCUUGACAUCCUCUGACAACCCUAGAGAUAGGGCUUUCCCCUUCGGGGGACAGAGUGACAGGUGGUGCAUGGUUGUCGUCAGCUCGUGUCGUGAGAUGUUGGGUUAAGUCCCGCAACGAGCGCAACCCUUGAUUCUAGUUGCCAGCAUUCAGUUGGGCACUCUAAGGUGACUGCCGGUGACAAACCGGAGGAAGGUGGGGAUGACGUCAAAUCAUCAUGCC